rnacentral:rRNA from 1 species
GACGAACGCUGGCGGCGUGCUUAACACAUGCAAGUCGAACGAUGAAGCCUAGCUUGCUAGGUGGAUUAGUGGCGAACGGGUGAGUAAUACGUGAGUAACCUACCUUUAACUCUGGGAUAAGCCUGGGAAACUGGGUCUAAUACCGGAUACGACCAAUCUCCGCAUGGGGUGUUGGUGGAAAGCGUUAUGUAGUGGUUAUAGAUGGGCUCACGGCCUAUCAGCUUGUUGGUGAGGUAACGGCUCACCAAGGCGACGACGGGUAGCCGGCCUGAGAGGGUGACCGGCCACACUGGGACUGAGACACGGCCCAGACUCCUACGGGAGGCAGCAGUGGGGAAUAUUGCACAAUGGGCGCAAGCCUGAUGCAGCGACGCCGCGUGAGGGAUGACGGCCUUCGGGUUGUAAACCUCUGUUAGCAGGGAAGAAGAGAAAUUGACGGUACCUGCAGAGAAAGCGCCGGCUAACUACGUGCCAGCAGCCGCGGUAAUACGUAGGGCGCGAGCGUUGUCCGGAAUUAUUGGGCGUAAAGAGCUUGUAGGCGGUUUGUCGCGUCUGCUGUGAAAGGCCGGGGCUUAACCCCGUGUAUUGCAGUGGGUACGGGCAGACUAGAGUGCAGUAGGGGAGACUGGAAUUCCUGGUGUAGCGGUGGAAUGCGCAGAUAUCAGGAAGAACACCGGUGGCGAAGGCGGGUCUCUGGGCCGUUACUGACGCUGAGGAGCGAAAGCGUGGGGAGCGAACAGG